GACUGUUGUUCAUAUAUAUGUAUAUCCAGCC
rnacentral:piRNA from 1 species